rnacentral:tRNA from 1 species
GCGGCCGUAGUUCAGCGGACAGAACAUCGGUCUUCUACACCGAGUGGCGGGGGUUCGAAUCCCUCCGGUCGCGCCA